ACCCUCCUCCUUUGCUGAUUGGCGGAGAGAUCGGAAUGGCAGGUGCGGCGUGAUUGGUCAGAUUCAGGCGGGAACUUGAAGCCAGAGAAGGAUGGAGCAGCAGGCAGCAAUGCAGGAGUUUGAAGAGUCGGUGGCGGAGUUGAACGCUGAGUUGGAUCGGUUGAGCCGCAAUAUUCAGGGCGUCGCCCAAUACCAGACCUCCGUGUUCCACGUCACCAAAGUGCUGUGCACCUGGAUGGACAAGAUCGAGGCUUUGGCCCGACACCGAGCCCAACACCCGCUCACCUCCGCCUCCUCCCAAUGACUUACCUGAAGCGGCAGAGAGAUCCCGCGACACCGUGGCCUUCCAGAAACCGCCGGCAUGGCCCCGCCCUCCCGAUACCACCGACGUGGCGUCCUGUAGAUAACAUCCAAUCACAGGGUGAAGAACUGACACAAGUUAUAUUUAUUGGUUAAUAAAGAACUCGUCUGUA